UACGAAGGGGGCUAGCGUUGCUCGGAAUCACUGGGCGUAAAGGGUGCGUAGGCGGGUCUUUUAAGUCAGGGGGUGAAAUCCUGGAGCUCAACUCCAGAACUGCCUUUGAUACUGAAGAUCUUGAGUUCGGGAGAGGUGAGUGGAACUCCGAGUGUAGAGGUGAAAUUCGUAGAUAUUCGGAAGAACACCAGUGGCGAAGGCGGCUCACUGGUCCGGUACUGACGCUGAGGUGCGAAAGCGUGGGGAGCAAACAGGG
rnacentral:rRNA from 1 species